ensembl:snoRNA SNORD16 Small nucleolar RNA SNORD16
UGCUGUGAUGGUGUAAUUUGCGUCUUAUCCUGUGCACAGUGACAGUUUGCCUGCUGUCAUAUACUGGUACAGAGAACUGGCGAAAAAAUAAUCUGAGCA